rnacentral:sRNA from 1 species
UAACGACUCUGCUGAGUCGGUGACAUCGA